rnacentral:pre_miRNA from 2 species
UACAACGGCUGUAUGUAGCUGGUUGACAUCGGGUCAGAUCUAUUUUAUCAAGUAUUUGGUCCCCUUCAACCAGCUGUAUCAGUGGUUGAUUCCAAC